CCUUUUUUAGGAGGCAUACAUCUUGCAACUUUUCAUUAAUGGUUUUGUUCCGUUGUUGUAUUUCUUUUCCUUUUUCCUCCGAUGAAUGAUAAUUUUACGGAACCAAACGCUUCUAUCGAGUGUUCUUAGAAAAACAGUUAAUAAAUUUAUGGCGACGAAUGACGACAUUCGUACUAAUAAUGAAAAUGUGUAGGAAUGACGACACUCUGAAGCAAUAAAGAAUGAUAUUGUGAUUGCAUGUUUCUUGGUGUGCAUGGUUUGGCUGUGUCAACCAAAAAAAAAAAAAAAGAAGAAGAAGAAGAAGAAGACAAGUACGAGAUUGACUUUGUCCAGCCUUUUCCAAACAAAACUUUCUUGUUUGUUUACAUAAUCUUGAUGAGGCCUGUAAAACAUUUUCUUAAAUUCACUUUAAUCAAUCAACUUUCUUCAUUAUCUAGUUUACAGAGGUUGGAUGAUCAUAUCGAUUGGUGCCCAGGGGAUAAAAAUUUGUUCAAGAAGGAGGUGAUCUAAUCUUUCGUUAUCCCAAAAAUAUGUUGGAACUUUUAUAAUUAAAAACAUGGAUCCAUUUGUUCUUUAUUUUACCAUUAAUCAGCACUGUUAGGAAGAAAAAAGAAGGGGGAGGGGGGGAGGCAGGGCCAACUCAUGUUACAAAAGAAAACUUGCUACAUAAUGAGCUCAAAGGAAUUACAGUGUUUAGAUCCAAUUCCAAAUGGGUUCCCUCUACUAACUUUCGACCAACACAAAAGUACAUUAACAGACAUGUUACAACAUUAUUCGUUCGCUAACACAAAAGCUCUAAAUGAGCAUUACAAGAAGAAUGCUUUUCAACGAGUAUAUGCCCAAGUGAUGCAUCAUGUAUACAGAGCAUUGCUUUUCUGAAGGGCGUUAUGCAUAUGAGUAGACUCAGUUGUAUGCACGUUGUGAAAUAAGCUUUGCAGGAACCUCAUAACUGCCUAGUUGAUGAUUUUCAAUAUGCAAAAGAU